GAGCGCGAGAAGGGGACGGUGAAAAAACGUAAAAGGCGUUUUUUGGUGACUCACUGAUGCCUAAAAAUGUAACUAGCCGUCAGCCUCUCAGUGUAGGGGCUGCUGUGCUGGGUUGAAACUGCCAUGCUUGCAGUUGUCCUUCCAGUUAAUAUGCUCACUAAGUGCCAAGAUAUUGAUCUGGGCAGUGGCAUCCAAUCCAUGAUGAUCCCAGUUCAGAAGAGGAAAAUCAAAUUCAGCCUCAGCAACGCAGCACAGUAUUUCUUGGAAGGACUGUCAAUGCCAAGUGCCAAUGGAUUUAUCUUCUUGGGCAGUAAAAACCCUUUUCCUGACACAGGACAAAAGGAUAAUUUUGCCUUUUGCAUGAAGGUUAAAGUUAACAGACUUUAACAGCUGGUGGAAGAAUUUGCCUUUGCUUCCGUUUUUCAUGGAAAAGUCCAGCAGGAUGUCAGGCAGAUGGGGGCAGCAGCACCUCGAACACUCAGCGUUACACCAGGCAAGCAAGAGCUACAGUCAGGGCAAACUUCUGUGUUCCAUCAACACAGAGCUUUUGUGUAGACUUCCAUAAACCAGCUUAAAACUACAGUGAUCUCUUUGCCCUUUCAACGAAUCCCUGUUUUUAUUAAUUACGUUAUUAAUCAUAAACUCACUUUACUGUUUGA